rnacentral:lncRNA from 1 species
UGAAGUACAGGCAUCAAUUUUGUGAGGCCUUCCCAAGAGCAUUUCUAUGCACAUGUGCCAUUAUUUAUGUGUGGGCCAGUCACACAAGCAAUUCUAGGUGCAGGAUCCCUAAUGAUUCCAAUGGGAAAGUCAUAUUUGGGCUGCUUGCAGAAUCCAGGAGUCCUACGUUGCACAUAGAAUCUUUGUUACUUCGACAGCCUGAGGAGGGGAUAAGCUGCUCUAAUCAGACAUUCCUUCCUGGAGGGAAAAGAGACCCUUCAAGUCAUGCUCUUUGCAGACACGCAUCUUUCUCACUGUCACUCUGGAAAGUGACAUUGAUUCUUUUCCCUGUAGCAGAACCACGAUUACUUAAUUUGUAGCCACUGGAGCCUAUGGCAAAAGUUUUUGAGAAAGGAAGCCAAGAUUUUCACAGCUGACUUGAAACCUAGAAUAAAGAAAGGCAGAAGAAGACCUAAGUCUACUCAAAAUGGAGUGAACAAGGUCCACCCAUCCUAAUGGGAUGAGGGGUUAAGCCCUCUCAAGGAGCAGGGUGAAGUAAGACUAUAACCUCAAGAUUAGGCUCUUCUUUAUAAAGCCACACAGAGUGGUUUGAACUCUACCCAUCUUUGGUCAUUCCCUGAUAUUUGGGACAUUAAUCCCUGCUUUAGUCUACACAGGCAGAAGAGCAACCUGGGCUUUGCGUGAUGGGAUCUGCAUUUUAUAGGACUGGAUUAUUGAGACUGGUUUGAACACAAAAAACCCAAGCAGACUCCUCCAUGGCCAAUAAGAUUCUGAGGCUCACCAGCCUCCUGUGAGAUAACAAAUGCUUCACCUCAGAAUUUCUACUCUCAAAAGCAGCUUAGAAAUGAGAAGACUUCUAGGAAAUGAUUUCAAAUGGAGUGUAUCCGCAUGGACUCCAAAGGAAUCAUGUCAACAGCUCUACAGUCCCUGCAGCAGGCAUAUUCUGGUCACAAUAAAGCAGGGCAAAGCUUUUUGUGUCCAUUCAUCAAGUAAAGGAACCAUGUGUGGUAUUUUACUUAGAAAUAAAGUCCAUCUUUAAUUUAGAGCAAUCCUGCCCCUCAGCCAUCCUCAGCAACACACAAUUAUCUGGCAAAGGAAAAAAAGUGGUGGUGUGGAAAAGUUGUUACUGUCAAAGUAACCAAAACAUGAAGAUCCAAAAGGAAACAAGACUUACAAGACUUUUAAAAAUUAUUAAUGGGACAGAAUUCUUGAGUGUGUUUUUCCAUCUCCUCCUAAGUAAGAACAAAAAACACUAAUCUGAUUUCUAGUAUUUUUCAUCAACAAACCACCAGCUGUAGCAUUUCCUACAGAGCAGACAGAAGUGUAGUGCAGUGGACCCAAAUGGGACCUGUGAAAGAAUACAACUUUGAAGAGAACAGACUCAAAGGGUAUCAAUAUUUAAAUAUAGUAGGCCAGCCUGACUGAGAAAAUCCAAGCAUUUAAGUGGAUUUAUUUUUUUAUUCCUCUGCCAUACUUGGAGCAUCCCUUCAGACAAAGGGGACAAAAUCCUGGCAAUGAUUGUUUUGUGUAAAUGAAGCCAAUGAACUGGACAGGUUUCUAAUGUAUCCCUGAAGUGUGGCCCAUCCAGCAGACAGGUUGGAUCUAUGGGGUGUGGAUGAAAAGAAUAGGGGUUGCAGGAAACAUUUAUGAGCAGCCUGCUGAGACAAUCAUUAGAGCUACUUGCAUCCAUCUCACUCUCCAGUACAUUCAAAGAGUGUUCUCAGAAGAAAAUUUGGCCGCGCACCAGUGGACAGCUGCAUUUUUAAGUGGAAACCCCUGUUAAAUUAAAAUUUUCUGUGUUAUAGCAUGAGCUCUACCAUCUGUUGUCUAGCUCAUUUAUGACCAGCUAAGCUUGCAAAAAAAAACGACAAAGAACUGAAAUGAUGCAAAAGGCAAAUGUCCCUGGGGAAACUGUUUUGUAUUUCCCACAGAGAGCAAGAACUUUUGUGUUUGAGUGGUGCCUACAACACUAACAGGGAAAUAAAUGAAUGUUAAAACUGAACA